rnacentral:rRNA from 1 species
GCUAAAUGCGGAAGAGAUAAGUGCUGAAAGCAUCUAAGCACGAAACUUGCCCCGAGAUGAGUUCUCCCUGACUCCUUGAGAGUCCUGAAGGAACGUUGAAGACGACGACGUUGAUAGGCCGGGUGUGUAAGCGCAGCGAUGCGUUGAGCUAACCGGUACUAAUGAACCGUGAGGCUUAACCUUACAACGCCGAAGCUGUU